GCUAAGACGUCUAGGCGGAUUGAGAGGUCGACCGCCAACACUGGGACUGAGACACUGCCCAGACUCCUACGGGAGGCUGCAGUCGAGAAUCAUUCACAAUGGGCGAAAGCCUGAUGAUGCGACGCCGUGUGAGCGAAGAAGGCCUUAGGGUUGUAAAGCUCUUUCGCCUGGGAACAAGGGAGGCUGAUUAAUACCCAGCCAACUUGAGGGUACCAGGUAAAGAAGCACCGGCUAACUCCGUGCCAGCAGCUGCGGUAAUACGGAGGGUGCAAGCAUUAAUCGGAUUUACUGGGCGUAAAGAGCGCGUAGGCGGGAAUGUAAGUCAGAUGUGAAAGCCCGGAGCUUAACUUCGGAACAGCAUCCGAAACUACAUUUCUUGAGGAUAGUCGGAGAAGGCGGAAUUCCACGAGUAGCGGUGAAAUGCGUAGAUACGUGGAAGAACACCGGUGGCGAAGGCGGCCUUCUAGGUUAUUCCUGACGCUAAGGCGCGAAAGCAAGGGGAGCAAACAGGAUUAGAUACCCUGGUAGUCUUUGCCGUAAACGAUGCACACUUGGUGUAGCUGGUCUCAACCCCAGCUUUGCCGAAGCUAACGCGUUAAGUGUGCCGCCUGGGGAGUACGCUCGCAAGGGUGAAACUCAAAAGAAUUGACGGGGACCCGCACAAGCAGUGGAGCAUGUGGUUUAAUUCGAUGCAACGCGAAGAACCUUACCCAGGCUUGACAUGCAGCGGACCGCCAUGGAAACAUGGUUUCUCGUAUGAGUCGCUGCACAGGUGCUGCAUGGCUGUCGUCAGCUCGUGCCGUGAGGUGUUGGGUUAAGUCCCGCAACGAGCGCAACCCUUAUCGCUAGUUGCCAGCACGUAAUGGUGGGAACUCUAGCGAGACUGCCUAGGUUAACUAGGAGGAAGGUGAGGAUGACGUCAAGUCAGCAUGGCCCUUAUGCCUGGGGCUACACACGUGCUACAAUGGCCGGUACAAAAGGCAGCGAAGCCGCGAGGUGAAGCAAAUCCAAAAAACCGGUCUCAGUUCGGAUUGUAGUCUGCAACUCGACCACAUGAAGUCGGAAUUGCUAGUAAUGGCGCGUCAGCUACAGCGCCGUGAAUACGUUCCCGGGUCUUGUACACACCGCCCGUCACAUCAUGGAAGUUGGUCUUGCCCGAAGUCGUUGACUCAACCGCAAGGGGAGAGGCGCCGAAGGUAAGGCCGAUAACUAGGAUGAAGUCGUAACAAGGUA
rnacentral:rRNA from 1 species